GUUGAGGGAAAUUAAUGAAAAACCAUCUUUGAGGCAUUUCAGAAACAAAGAUAAUAAUUUAAACCAAACUAACCAAUACAAUGAUAUUUAUCCCAUAAUAUAAAACUGUAUUCUGACAUUAG